GCAGGCUGAAAUUCGCCUGCAUGAAGCCGGAAUUGCUAGUAAUGGCAGGUCAGCAUACUGCCGUGAAUACGUUCCCGGGCCUUGUACACACCGCCCGUCACACCAUGAGAGUUGGGGAUACCCGAAGCCUGUGAGCCAACAGUUAAAUGAGGCAGCAGUCGAAGGUAGAAUCAAUGAUUGGGGUGAAGUCGUAACAAGGUAAC
rnacentral:rRNA from 1 species